AACACUGAGCUUUAGACGAGGGAAUAAAGUUAGCCAGCAUCAAGGACGAACGAUAGAGAGUCCUUUGCGCGUUAAAAAGUGUGCUAACACAGAGUUGUCUGAAUGUUGAGUGUUGAAUAUCUGAUUAGUGGCGGACGGGUGAGUAACGCGUGGGGAACCUGCCCUAUACAGGGGGAUAGCCUCGGGAAACCGGGAUUAAUACCCCAUAAAACUCUAGUAUCGCAUGAUACGUGAGUCAAAGCUGAGGCGGUAUAGGAUGGCCCCGCGUCUGAUUAGCUAGUUGGUGAGGUAACGGCUCACCAAGGCGACGAUCAGUAGCCGGCCUGAGAGGGUGGACGGCCACACUGGAACUGAGACACGGUCCAGACUCCUACGGGAGGCAGCAGUGGGGAAUAUUGCACAAUGGGGGAAACCCUGAUGCAGCGACGCCGCGUGAGCGAAGAAGGCCUUCGGGUCGUAAAGCUCUGUCCUAAGGGAAGAAAAGGACGGUACCUUAGGAGGAAGCCCCGGCUAACUACGUG
rnacentral:rRNA from 1 species